rnacentral:rRNA from 1 species
UACGUAGGGUGCAAACGUUGCUCGGAAUCAUUGGGCGUAAAGCGCACGUAGGCGGCCUGAUAAGUCGGGUGUGAAAGCCCUGGGCUCAACCCAGGAAGUGCACUCGAAACUGUCAGGCUUGAAUAUGGAAGAGGGUCGCGGAAUUCCCGGUGUAGAGGUGAAAUUCGUAGAUAUCGGGAGGAACACCAGUGGCGAAGGCGGCGACCUGGGCCAAUAUUGACGCUGAGGUGCGAAAGCGUGGGGAGCAAACAGG